CUCAUGGAUCCAUAAAUUCACUCCUGGACCCCAGUUGAGAACCCUGACCCUAAGGAUUCUGAGCCUGCAAACCCUGGAGAAAAGUGGGGUUUGGCUGAUCUCAGCUGGGCCAGGUGAGGAUUAGCACCAGGUUGCAAGUAGAUUCAAUUCUGCUUCCUCUGUCUUCAUUGCAGGAUCAGAGGCUACGUGAGAUUAGAGUUUCAUAGUCCACUGUGAGCAUUAAUUUGUCCAGCUCUGCCUUCAGGUGGAACAUCUGUAUAAAUCCAGCUUUGUGAGUAUUUUUAAACUGAGAGAUUUCCCAUCUGUUUUGGAGUUAUAGCAGCCCACAUUAGCCUCACUUGAGCUCUUAAUGAUAUAUGUGUGAUGAAAACAAGACGUUUUAAUAUGUAAGUAUUCAUAGCCUCCUUCAUUCCUGUCUGUGCAGAUUCUACCCCUCCCCCCACAGUCUUAGGAAUUCUU
rnacentral:lncRNA from 1 species